rnacentral:lncRNA from 1 species
GCAAAACUAAAGGAAGUUCAAGUCAGAAUUGAACUUCGAGACGUAGCAGUCCUGCAUCUUUAUCCUAAAUUGUUACUCAAAGCUGAGGACCACCUCGAUGAGACUGUCCAUCUUCUCAGGCUAUUGUGUCCUCUAUGAUACAUUACACUCCAUGACAUGGCAGUGCCACACUACCAAUUGGUAUUAAUAUGUACAGAAGACCUUGUGAAUUAAAUAUAGAAUGACUGUUGAGUUUUCAAGACAACAGGAAAAACAGAGAUAAGGAAACCACCUUACUCAUCCUUUUUUGGUUACUUUUGAGAAUUUGCAUCUUACUGUUGCUUUUAUAUUUGGAAGAUUUUUCAGGCACACUUCAUAAAAUCAACA